GACGAACGCUGGCGGCGUGCUUAACACAUGCAAGUCGUACGGUAAGGCCCUUUCGGGGGUACACGAGUGGCGAACGGGUGAGUAACACGUGAGUAACCUGCCCACAACUUUGGGAUAACGCUAGGAAACUGGUGCUAAUACUGGAUAUGUGCUCCUGCUGCAUGGUGGGGGUUGGAAAGCUCCGGCGGUUGUGGAUGGACUCGCGGCCUAUCAGCUUGUUGGUGGGGUAGUGGCCUACCAAGGCGGCGACGGGUAGCCGGCCUGAGAGGGUGACCGGCCACAUUGGGACUGAGAUACGGCCCAGACUCCUACGGGAGGCAACAGUGGGGAAUAUUGCACAAUGGGCGCAAGCCUGAUGCAGCAACGCCGCGUGCGGGAUGACGGCCUUCGGGUUGUAAACCGCUUUCAGCAGGGACGAAGCUUUUUGUGACGGUACCUGCAGAAGAAGCACCGGCUAACUACGUG
rnacentral:rRNA from 1 species